rnacentral:pre_miRNA from 8 species
CUCGGGAGGGGCGGGAGGGGGGUCCCCGGUGCUCGGAUCUCGAGGGUGCUUAUUGUUCGGUCCGAGCCUGGAGUCUCCCUCUCCCCCCACCCCAGCCC